AUAACCCUCCCUCUCGAAUUGGAUUCUGACAUGACACUGGACAUUUUUAUGCAAUAUUCCCCCGAGUGUCUUGUUUCUGUCGAAGGAUCUUAUUCUUUGACAAAUUCAUAAAAAUUGUUUUGUAUUACUUGACUAAUUUAAAUUUAAGGUGAUUUUAAAGAUUGUUUUGUUGAUAAAGAUUUUAAAGCUACAAAAGUUGCAAGUAGUUAAGGAAUUCGAAUUCAAGGAUAUUGUGUAUUAUUUGUUAGACCACCGCAAUACGGGAUUUAAGCAAAUUCUUAACACUAGUCUUUAGUGUUAUUUGAUUAUAAUAGCAUUGUAAUACAAGAGCUUGUUAAGAAAGAAUCUUUAACUAAGGCAUUUUAAGGAACAAGUUCUUAGUGUUUCACUUACCCUUAUCAUCUCCUCUCCACCUCACGAUCAUCAUCAUCACCAACUUCCAUCGCCAACCUCCGUGUUCUUCUGCCUUCCUCCGAUUUCUCUUCUCCGCUUCAAAUCUAAUAGGAGAACGCUAAAACGGAAAGAAAAAGAAUCUUGUAGACGAAAAGGAAUUCAAAAUUAGCUCCAGUCAUCGUCUACGCUGCGAGUAGAGAUUCUUAACUUCUAUGAUUACGAGCUCGAGCUCCUUGGAAAGUACCGAAAAUCGCCUUUGUUUUCGUUUGAUCAGGAAGAAAAACAAAGAGAUGAGUGUGUGCUUUGCUGAAGAUGGCGGUAUUGAGCGUUACCUCGCUAGGUACCGAGGUCAUACGAAGAAAAUCAGACUUCUAUUCAUCGCUCAGCGUGUGGUAGAACGGAGAAAGAUUAGACUCUUGAAGAUGGCUUACAAUUAGGAAAGUGAAGACGUACGGUUUUUAGCAUCUGUUAUCCACGCUAUGAAUAAGAAUGAGCCUGAUGAUGCUGAAUGCUACAAGUUAGUAGCUGUUUCUAGAGUUAACAAGGAGAAGACAUGUUCCUUAGAGCGUGAGAUUCUUUUACAAAAGGUACUUGAGUUUCAACCUCAUUUCGUUGUUGUUUAUGAGUGAUUUAAAUGCUUAUGCAGAGUAAAAGUAAAGCAUCCGCACUGGUCCAAUUUUUUCAAUGUUGCAAUUAGGUGUUUAGAUAUUUGUGUUAUCUUCGUAUGCUAUAUGCAUAUGCAUAUGCAUAUGCAUAUAAAUAAGGAAUCUCUCGUUGCGGCCUACAACAAACUCGCAGAGCACUACUUUGCAACUAGUUACCUGAAAUAUGCUCUUGAGUGCUAUGAACUGAUCACCCAAUUCGGAACCUCAAGAGAGAAUAUGUUUCAAGCAUGUAUGAAUUGUGCUCUUGUGAGCAUGGGGAUACAAGAGAUGAAUGAAGACAUCUCACACAGCAUUGACCUUCUGCUUCUUCCAUCUAUAAGCAGCUUCAAAAUGUUGAGGUUCAAAGUCCGCAAAUCUUCAGGGAACAAGUAAUCAAUGUAUUCAACAUACUCUAAUAAUUUCAAAUUCCUAAAGAUCCUAUAUUGGGUAACAUUAUUGGAUAUACAUUUUAGAGUAAAGUCUUUAAUUAUUCAAAAAACAAAAAAAAAAUAUUAUAUUACUAAGGACUCCAAUGGUGGGUAACACCAUUGGAGUUACUCUUAUGUUUGA